AUUGAACGCUGGCGGCGGGCCUAACACAUGCAAGUCGAACGCGUGGCGGACGGGUGAGUAGUGUCUGGGAAACUGCCUGAUGGAGGGGUAUAAGUACUGGAACAGGUAGAUAAAACUGCAUACCAUCAGAUGUGCCCAGAUGGGAUUAGCGUGUUGGUGGGGUAACGGCUCACCAAGGCGACGCUACUUAGCUGGUCUGAGAGGCUGACCAGCCACACUGGGACUGAGACACGGUCCAGACUCCUACGGGAGGCAGCAGUGGGGAAUCUUGCACAAUGGACGAAAGCCUGAUGCAGCAAUGCCGCGUGUAUGAAGAAGGCCUUCGGGUUGUAAAGUACUGUCAUCAGGGAGGCGUUACCUGCACAAGAAGCACCGGCUAACUCCGUGCCAGCAGCCGCGGUAAUUC
rnacentral:rRNA from 1 species